UACAUCCUGCGAUGAACGAGGGCUUAAGAUGUCUCAAACCGAUGCAUUGUUUACGGGAAUUUAAAUUGUUAUUUGGACAACAAGCCAAGUAAGCGAAUUGGAAGUUGGAAAGAUGACUGAGAAUACCCACCUGCCAUAGAGCGGGUUUUGAGACACUAGGAGCUACGUCAGAGCGGGGAAACU
rnacentral:other from 1 species